rnacentral:lncRNA from 1 species
AAUAGGCUCUGAAAGUCAGCUUCCAACUAAAGGCAAACUCUGAAAGACAGAAAGCCUGUGACAGCAACUCACAAAAUGCACUUGUUCUUCUUAGAAUCCUCACAUGCCACUCCUAUUGCCUUCAGGCUGGCAUUCGACAUCACAUCCCAGACAAGCCCAGUGGUGUCUGCAGAGAACUUGGUCAUCUUGGAAUUUCACAAUAUGGUGCUGGCCCACUAAAUGAUGAAUCAUACUAUUAGGUCUCAGUGAGCAGUAAGUGGUGGUACUCUAGAUGUCCCAGCAAGACACACAUGUCAGAAAAGGGAUCUAACUCUAUGAAGAUUCAGAAGCUUGCACUAUUACUAAUGGAGCCACUACCAUUGCUGAGUGUCCAACUUUCCAGCAGCUGAGACCAAUAAUAAACUUUGUAAGCAUCACCAUUCUUCAAGGAGACCAGCCACUUGGUAGUAAGUUCAAUGUAUUGGACCCCUCUAAUGUAGCACCACCCAA